CCUACGGGAGGCAGCAGUGAGGAAUAUUGGUCAAUGGACGAGAGUCUGAACCAGCCAAGUAGCGUGAAGGAUGACUGCCCGAGGGGGUGUAACCUUCUGUUAUAGGGGAAUAAAACGGUCAACGUGUGGGAGUUGGUAGGGACGAUAGGAAGAAGGAACGGCUAACUCCGUGCCAGCAGCCCCGGUAAUACGGAGGAUCCGAGCGUUAUCCGGUUUUAUUGGGUUUAACGGGUGCCUAGGUGGAUUGUUAAAUCAGUUGUGAAAGUUUGCGGCUCAACCGUCAAAUUGCAGUUGAUACUGGCAGUCUUGAGUACAGUAGAGGUGGGCGGAAUUCGUGGUGUAGCGGUGAAAUGCUUAGAUAUCACGAAGAACUCCGAUUGCGAAGGCAGUUCACUAGACUGCACCUGACACUGAUUCUCGAAAGUGUGGGUAUCAAACAGGAUUAGAUACCCGUGUAGUC
rnacentral:rRNA from 1 species